UUUUAAAAAUUCCAUCCAUUUUUACCGUUAAAAAUUAGUGUGACUGAUAAAAAUAACCAAACAACUACAUGUGGCAUGCCAUGUCUACCUCACGUUGACGUAUAAGGACCAGUUUUUAACAAUAUAAAUGGAUGAAAUUUUUACAA
rfam:Gossypium raimondii Chr01_contig_36, whole genome shotgun sequence.